AAUUGCGGCCGUAGGCUUGCCUAUGGCCACGUCUGGCCGAGGGUCGGCUUAUAAACUAUCACGACGCGUAAAAAGUCGUGGCUUGGAAGGUUGCCGGCGGGCGUUAAACUCUUAUUCAGUUCGAGAGAAGCCUGACAGCGACGGCUCCUUCUUAAUGUGGCUAUAUAAAGCACCAGUUGCCUUGUUAACGCGAAGCUUAUGGUAAUGUGUGUGUGUGUGCAUGUAAGUGUACAGUGCAUACAAGCCUUGCAUUAUUUUGUGUUAGUGUGUGUGUAAAAUGCUGGCUACAUUGGCCGUGGCUCAGUGUGUGUAUUUUGUAGAGUAGCACGCCUGUUUCCAGCAUUGAUGCAAGUAUUUGUAAGCCUGUGCACGAAUUGCUAUAAGCCUGAGUGUAAGGUAACGACCCAUUACAUA
rnacentral:rRNA from 1 species